GCCGCCUCCUCCACCAGAUCGCAACCACGGAAUCCCAAGGAUCGAUAACCUCAAGCUCACGAUCAACUUCCGACGCAACAAACCCUUCCGCCGUUGACGGUUUUCGGUGACUACCAGCGAUUGACGAAGCAGAGAAGUUCGUGGGAGCAAGAGAUUCAUAUCGAAGAGGAGCCGUCUGAAGAAUAAACGAGAAAGGUGAGAGUUUUGUUUUUUUGAUUUUUUUUAAGCCAUGGUUUGUUUGCGUUUAGAGAGAGAUCGAGAGAAUGGAGUGUGUUCUCUGUUUUAUCUUCACAAUGAAAAAGAGACAAUGUUUUUGUUAAAAAAGAAGGGAGAACGUGAAUGGCCAUCUUGGGAAACCGAUAGUCUUAAUUAAUUUUAAAAAAA
rnacentral:lncRNA from 1 species